ACGCCAAAAAUUUACUGCAUAUUUUAUCGUAUGUUACAAUGCAUUUUUUUUCUUGUGGGCGAAAUUAUCGUAUGUGCCAUAUACAAGAAGUUAAGAAGAA